CGUUAGCGGCGGACGGGUGAGUAACACGUGGGUAACCUACCUAUAAGACUGGGAUAACUUCGGGAAACCGGAGCUAAUACCGGAUAAUAUUUCGAACCGCAUGGUUCGAUAGUGAAAGAUGGUUUUGCUAUCACUUAUAGAUGGACCCGCGCCGUAUUAGCUAGUUGGUAAGGUAACGGCUUACCAAGGCGACGAUACGUAGCCGACCUGAGAGGGUGAUCGGCCACACUGGAACUGAGACACGGUCCAGACUCCUACGGGAGGCAGCAGCA
rnacentral:rRNA from 1 species